rnacentral:rRNA from 1 species
AACGUAGGAGGCGAGCGUUAUCCGGAGUUACUGGGCGUAAAGCGCGUGUAGGUGGCGUGUCACGUCUGCUGUGAAAGCUCCCGGCUUAACCGGGACUAGGCGGUAGAUACGGGCAAGCUAGAGGGUGACAGAGGAGCGUAGAAUUCCGGGUGUAGUGGUGAAAUGCGUAGAGAUGUGGAGGAACACCGAUGGCGAAGGCAGCCCCCUGGGUCAAGAUUGACGCUCAUGCACGAAAGCGUGGGGAGCAAACAGG